ensembl:misc_RNA Metazoa_SRP Metazoan signal recognition particle RNA
GCUGGGCAUGGUGGCGUGUGCCUGUAAUCCCAGCUACUUGGGAGGCUGAGGCAGGAGAAUUGCUAGAACCCAGGAGGCAGAGGUUGCAGUGAGCCAAGAUCAUGCACUGCACUCCAGCCUGGGCAACAGAGCCAGACUCUGUCUCAA